rnacentral:lncRNA from 1 species
GGAUAGAUAACUAUGAACAAGAGUCAGCUUUUUGUAUCUAUUCCAGUCAAAUUUUAAAAUUUAUCACAAAUUUAGUCAUUACAAGAAGUGGAUUAUAACAUUGUAAGUCAUACUAUUCUCACUUCGGAGAAAUGCUUAAGCAUUACAUUAUUGGCUAUAUUUUCAACAGAAACUUUAUUAGUAACAGAUAAGUAUUUCUGAUUUCGCGUUGUUUCCCUCUUCCUGCUCGAAAUUCAAUAAAUCAUAUUUUCCACGCCACUUGUCAAUAAAGUCGAUUCUUCUUUGGUGUAACUGAAUAACUUUUGAUUAGUUAUUUUCUGUUAAUGUUUAUCAUGGCUGAAAUAGGAAAAAAAAACUUAUCUUCUUAAGCAUUCAUGUGUUUUAGUAACUAAGUUGGUAACAUUGUAGUAUCUAAAGAUGAUAUCAGUUUCAACUUUGGAUAUAUCUUGUUGCCUCUUUAACAACAAAGACCCAUUGUAUCUACAUUAAAGAAAAAUUUAUUUCAUCAUGAAAGUUUCUCUGUGACAGCCUUUUAUAUUAGUCAACGUAGCUAAUGGAGAACAUUACAAAUAAAGAAGUCGUUGUAAAUAUAGCAAACUUGAUGUCAUUUAAUGAUGUCUUAAUCUGUUAUUGCAAUGAUUAUUAUUUUGCUCUGUAAAACAGUUAUGCUACAAUACUUAGUUAUUUACAAUUUGACAUUUUGUUAAUUCGUUUAUUAAUGGCUGAAAUGAUUACCGACUCUCUUUCAGCUGCCAACUAUGUGGCUAUCUCCAAGCUUUGCAGACAUCACCAUCAGUUGUUGCUGCUGGAUUGGUUAUUGAUUAUCUUAUUAUAUCGCCAGCAACACAACUGUGAGAUUAAUUGAUACGUGGUUAUGCAAGGCUGCCAUGACUCCAACUCCGCCAUUUGGACUCAUAAGGACGAUUCAAGGUAAGUAAUCUAAUCCAUUAGUUAUGGUAUGUUACAUGCUAUUUCUAACACAUUAAACCUAUUUCUACAAAUAUCAGCUCUCUCAUCUCUUUCCCUCUUUUAGUUCUCCAUACACACACUCUCUAUUUCAAUGAGUAUUGUUGCAGCUGUACGAAAAGUAAAGAUCAAAUUUAGUAGUUAGAAAUAAUGAAUCUUUCCCUCCCUGUAUGUGUAAACUCUCCAUUUCACCUUUAUUUUCUGGAUUUCUCCUUCUUAUAUCAAUAACAAUAAUUUUCCGGUUUUCUCAGUGUUUGCUGUUUAGAAAAUUAUUGCGGAAACUAUAUUUUUUGUUCUCAGAUAAAGCGGUAAAAGUUAUUGGAAAGAUUAGUCAACGCUUGGCCUAAAUAAAGUUACUAAUUCUACCGUUCUACUACAAGGACAUGUUAGUUGUCAUGAUUAUUGGUAAGUACUAUUUGGACACAAUUUUUUCUCAAAUCUCACACACUAAGGAGCACAUGCCUUUCAAUUAAACACAUCCUUUCAAUAACCUUUACUUUUAACAAAAGUCUGUAGUGAAAUUAACUACAAAUUGCCCUCAUCCUGGAAUAACCAUAUUCAAACUUAAUCAUCAUAUAGCUGUUGUUGAGGAUAAUUGUAAAAUUCUCUUUUACUCCUUUUUCCAUAAGGUAACUCAUAGUUGAUUAAGUGCCCGUUAAAAUUCUCUUUUAUUCCUUUAUCUAUAAGGUAACUCAUACUUGAUUAAGUGCCCAUUUAGAUUGACUUGUUUUAGGUGUUUUAAAGCAAAAUGCUUAUAAGAACUUAUUUCUAAGUCAAAAUAACAAAAUUAAGCCAAAGUCAAUCCAAACAGGCUUUAUAUCUUCUUUGUUUUACCCCUCCAUAGUUCCCUAAUCCUUUUUGCUUUUCAUUAUAGGAUAAAUACUAGAGCUACCAUUCUUUAAACUCACCGGUUUAAAGAAAAAAGUAGUUUAAUUUGAGAAGAAAUGAAACUACGUAGCACAAGAAAAAUGGAAAAGUUGUAUGUCUGCUCAUUACAAUGAUCUCCGAGAUAAUGAUACUUUAUGCCCAAUCAGUUCUUGGAUGAUCUGCAGAAUAUCCUUAUAUGUGAGGGAAAGAACACGCAAAAAAUUAUCUUACACAAAUUAGUUUCCCAAUAAGUAUUGAGUUAAGCAUUUGACAGAUUUUACUAAAUGAAUUUUAGAAACUAAUACUCUUCUUAGAAUAAGUCUAUCUAACCAAAGACAACAUAGUUGUCAACAAGUAGAAGCGUGGUUGUGGAAAUUUGAAGGGGAGAAGAAAAACUUCUUAGAACAAUAUAAAAGUGCUCUUCUAGGCUACAACAAUUAUAUUUAUAAAAAGAAAAAUUCAUAGAGUGUCCCCUACUUUUCAUAACAUGUGUUAUGUUAGAUGGAUAUCACUUUCAAUUUUUUUGGUAUAAUGUGCUUCAUUAGUUCUUUUCAAUUUCUCAUUGUGGCUUUUGUUUAGCGUAAUAUACAUGCUUAACCUGCCUUGAGUAGAAGAAAGAGUUGUACUAUAAAGUUCAGUGGUUUCAUUAAAUAUCAUUGAACUUUAAUAGAUCAUUGAUGAAACAUAGGAGGUGAUUUCAAUUGUUGUAGUAGGAAUGUUAAUCUUUGUGAUGAAAUUUAAUAAACACAACUGAAAGUUCUCAAGAGAAGUACAAUAAAAAACUUUCUUUUUCAUUGUUUCGGCCAACUACAUUUACUAUUGAUGUUGGAUAGCUUUUAUUAUUUACAAUUUGUAGUAUCAAGUUCAGAGCACCUUACUUGAAGUAGGAUUAUAGUGUUGAGUUUGGAGUACGUUUUUAUUGUAAUUUGAUUUUUUUUUAUCUUUUCAAGUACACAGAAAGUGUAUAUUGACACCUCCUUUUCUAUGAUGUUUUCUUAAAAUAGAUAAAGUAUUGUGUAUUAUAAUCGCAAAACUAAAACCUCAUAUUGUUCAACUGCCACAAUUGUUUCAUUUGGCCAAGUUUGAGAUCUACUGAUUUUAUAGCAACAAAUUUGUGAUAUGCAUACUGCAAG